rnacentral:rRNA from 1 species
AUACGGAGGGUGCAAGCGUUGUUCGGAAUCACUGGGCGUAAAGGGCGCGCCGGCGGUUUGGUAAGUCAGAUGUGAAAGCCCACGGCUCAACCGUGGAAGUGCAUUUGAAACUGCCAGACUUGAGUACCAGAGGGGAAAGUGGAAUUCCCGGUGUAGAGGUGAAAUUCGUAGAUAUCGGGAGGAAUACCGGUGGCGAAGGCGACUUUCUGGCUGGAUACUGACGCUGAGGCGCGAAAGCGUGGGGAGCAAACAGGAUUAGAAACCCUAGUAGUCC